GAACAAUGAAGCGUGAGCUGGAGGGGAGCGAGCGGGCCGCCGGGAGCGCACUGUGUACAAACAGAGGCGGCGUGCGUAGAGGGAGGUAGGGAGAGAGACAAACACAGAGCUAGAGAAAUUGAAAGAGAAACAUUCUCGAAGGCAAAGAGUUGAAAGGUGAAUCUACUAAGAAAAGAAUAACAGAGUGCAAUUAGCCAUGGAACUACAUCUCCAUCUGCCUCCUUUAAAGGAUGAGUCCUUUAAAGAGCCUUUGGAAGGAAUUGGGCCAUGAGAAGAGCCCUCAUGAAUGGGAUUAGUUCCCUUAUAAGAAGAGACACCAAGGAAGUGAUCUUUCUCUGCCCUCUGCUAUGUGAAGACAAGGUCAUCUGCAGUUUUUUGUUGUUGUUGAUGAUCUUCCUGUCAUAGACAAUGCUGUAACAAACAGACUAAUGCUUCAGAAGAAUUGUAAUAUUAGGUACUAUCUGCCUUUAAGAAAAUAGAAGCAGCUGGUGUGGUGGCUCAUGCCUGUAAUCCCAGCACUUUGGGAG
rnacentral:lncRNA from 1 species